CGUUGUUCCGUCUAGAGCCUCCACCCUCUUAAUCAAGGAUGUGAGGCGACGGCGAUCUGUUUUAAAACUGAAGCUUGCCAAGAUAAUCACACCCCAUGCUAAGGUCUUGAGGACCGGGGUUGCACUGGUUGUAAAGCUUCUCCCGUCUUGCAAAACCGAUGUAGAAUUCCCGUGUUACGUUGUCGGGGUCUAGGUCAUUAGCCAGCAUAUCCGAUUUGGAGAUACCACCAGCAUAUGGCACGGCCAAAGAAAUUGCAAUAUUCGGGUCUUUGAGAAUGAGCUGAAGAGCUUUCAAGUAGUUGUUGAAAUACUCAGCACCAUAUACUUCGAUAUCACCUGUGCGUUCUCUCAUUCCCCUUGUCAGGCGGAAGAGCAUCAUACGCAUAAGUUCAAGUGCGGCUCGUCUUUCGUUGCCUUCGUUCUUGUCCAACACCCAUUGAUAGGUUUCGUCGGAAAGCAUCGGAGGCUCCC
rnacentral:sRNA from 1 species